rnacentral:rRNA from 1 species
AGUGAACGCUGGCGGUAGGCCUAACACAUGCAAGUCGAACGGCAGCACAGUAAGAGCUUGCUCUUACGGGUGGCGAGUGGCGGACGGGUGAGGAAUACAUCGGAAUCUACUUUUUCGGGGGGGGUAACGUAGGGAAACGUACGCUAAUACCGCAUACGACCUACGGGUGAAAGCAGGGGAUCUUCGGACCUUGCGCGAUUGAAUGAGCCGAGGUCGGAUUAGCUAGUUGGCGGGGUAAAGGCCCACCAAGGCGACGAUCCGUAGCUGGUCUGAGAGGAUGAUCAGCCACACUGGAACUGAGACACGGUCCAGACUCCUACGGGAAGCAGCAGUGGGGAAUAUUGGACAAUGGUCGCCAGCCUGAUCCAGCCAUACCGCGUGGGUGAAGAAGGCCUUCGGGUUGUAAAGCCCUUUUGUUGGGAAAGAAAAGCAGCAGGUUAAUACCCCGCUGUUCUGACGGUACCCAAAGAAUAAGCACCGGCUAACUUCGUG